rnacentral:rRNA from 1 species
UACAGAGGUCUCAAGCGUUGUUCGGAUUCAUUGGGCGUAAAGGGUGCGUAGGUGGCGCCGUAAGUCGGGUGUGAAAUUUCGGAGCUUAACUCCGAAACUGCAUUCGAUACUGCGGUGCUUGAGGACUGGAGAGGAGACUGGAAUUCAUGGUGUAGCAGUGAAAAUGCGUAGAGAUCAUGAGGAAGACCAGUGGCGAAAGGCGGGUCUCUGGACAGUUCCUGACACUGAGGCACGAAGGCCAGGGGAGCAAACGGG